rnacentral:rRNA from 1 species
UGGGGAAUAUUGCGCAAUGGGGGGAACCCUGACGCAGCCAUGCCGCGUGAAUGAAGAGGGCCUUCGGGUUGUAAAGUUCUUUCGGUAUUGAGGAAGGUUGAUGUGUUAAUAGCACAUCAAAUUGACGUUAAAUACAGAAGAAGCACCGGCUAACUCCGUGCCAGCAGCCGCGGUAAUACGGAGGGUGCGAGCGUUAAUCGGAAUAACUGGGCGUAAAGGGCACGCAGGCGGUUAUUUAAGUGAGGUGUGAAAGCCCUGGGCUUAACCUAGGAAUUGCAUUUCAGACUGGGUAACUAGAGUACUUUAGGGAGGGGUAGAAUUCCACGUGUAGCGGUGAAAUGCGUAGAGAUGUGGAGGAAUACCGAAGGCGAAGGCAGCCCCUUGGGAAUGUACUGACGCUCAUGUGCGAAAGCGUGGGGAGCAAACAGGAUUAGAUACCCUGGUAGUCCACGCUGUAAACGCUGUCGAUUUGGGGGUUGGGGUUUAACUCUGGCGCCCGUAGCUAACGUGAUAAAUCGACCGCCUGGGGAGUACGGCCGCAAGGUUA